rnacentral:rRNA from 1 species
GAUGAACGCUGACAGAAUGCUUAACACAUGCAAGUCAACUGUGGCGGACGGGUGAGUAACGCGUAAAGAACUUGCCUCACGGAUAGGGACAACAUUUGGAAACGGAUGCUACUCCCGGAUACUGUGAGAGAGCUUUGCGUCCCAUUAGCUAGUUGGAGAGGUAACGGCUCACCAAGGCGAUGAUGGGUAGCCGGCCUGAGAGGGUGAUCGGCAACAAGGGGACUGAGACACGGCCCUUACUACUACGGGAUGCAGCAGUGGGGAAUAUUGGACAAUGGACCAAAGUCUGAUCCAGCAAUUCUGUGUGCACGAUGAAGUUUUCGGAAUGUAAAGUGCUUUCAGUUGGGAAGCGGUACCAACAGAAGAAGUGACGGCUAAAUACGGGCCAGCAGCCGCGGUAAUUC